rnacentral:rRNA from 1 species
UAAGCGUGAGUGACGGUAAUGGGUAAAGAAGCACCGGCUAACUACGUGCCAGCAGCCGCGGUGAUACGUAGGGUGCGAGCGUUGUCCGGAUUUAUUGGGCGUAAAGGGCUCGUAGGUGGUUGAUCGCGUCGGAAGUGUAAUCUUGGGGCUUAACCCUGAGCGUGCUUUCGAUACGGGUUGACUUGAGGAAGGUAGGGGAGAAUGGAAUUCCUGGUGGAGCGGUGGAAUGCGCAGAUAUCAGGAGGAACACCAGUGGCGAAGGCGGUUCUCUGGGCCUUUCCUGACGCUGAGGAGCGAAAGCGUGGGGAGCGAACAGGCUUAGAUACCCUGGUAGUCCACGCUGUAAACGGUGGGUACUAGGUGUGGGGUCCAUUCCACGGGUUCCGUGCCGUAGCUAACGCUUUAAGUACCCCGCCUGGGGAGUACGGCCGCAAGGCUAAAACUCAAAGGAAUUGACGGGGCCCCGCACAAGCGGCGGAGCAUGCGGAUUAAUUCGAUGCAACGCGUAGAACCUUACCUGGGUUUGACAUGGAUCGGGAGUGCUCAGAGAUGGGUGUGCCUCUUUUGGGGUCGGUUCACAGGUGGUGCAUGCCUGUCGUCAGCUCGUGUCGUGAGAUGUUGGGUUAAGUCCCGCAACGAGCGCAACCCUUGUUCACUGUUGCCAGCACGUUAUGGUGG